rnacentral:rRNA from 1 species
UCAGACGAUGCGUCAUGCAUAUCAAUAAGCGGAGGAAAAGAAACUAACAAGGAUUCCCUCAGUAACGGCGAGUGAAGCGGGAAGAGCUCAAAUUUGAAAUCUUGAAAGGUCACCUUUCACGAAUUGUAGUUUAAAGAAGUGUUUUCUGUUACGAUCGUAAUAUAAGUUCUUUGGAAUAGGACAUCACAGAGGGUGAGAAUCCCGUCUAUGAUUGCGAUUUGUAGCUUUGUGAUACACUUUCAAAGAGUCGGGUUGUUUGGGAAUGCAGCCCAAAACGGGAGGUAAAUUUCUUCUAAGGCUAAAUAUUGGCGAGAGACCGAUAACGAACAAGUACCGUGAGGGAAAGAUGAAAAGAACUUUGAAAAGAGAGUUAAAUAGUACGUGAAAUUGUCAAAAGGGGAGCGUUUAACACCAGUGUUGUUUUCUGAAAAUCAACCUCUGUUAGCUUUAUGCAUGUUUGUUUAGACCUAAUCAGCUAUCUUGCAUGUUCUAUUGUUUGCAGUGGUGCACUUUUCAGUUUACAGGUCAACAUCAGUUUUUUUUACCGUAAAAAAGUUAAAGAAAGGUAGCUCAUGGCUCCGGUCGUGAGUGUUAUAGUCUUUUUCCUAUGCGGUAGGAGAGACUGAGGUCUGCAGUGUAGGCUAUUUGGCUAGAUACUCAGGUGCUAUGUGAUACCAUUUCAUAAACAACUUGUUGAUUAUGUUUUGUCUAUUGCAUACUCGCUUGUACUAUCAUACCUACGCUUAGGAUGUUGAAGACUCUACAGAGAUA